rnacentral:rRNA from 1 species
CCCGUAGAUGCAGCGACGCCGCGUGGAGGAUGACGGAUCUAGGUCUGUAAACUCCUUUUUCAUGGAAAGACUUAGGACGGUACCAUGAGAAUAAGGACCGGCUAACUACGUGCCAGCAGCCGCGGUAAGACGUAGGGUCCAAGCGUUGUCCGGAUUUACUGGGCGUAAAGAGCGCGUAGGCGGCUUGAUAAGUGUGGUGUGAAAUCUCCAGGGCUUAACCCGGAAACUGCACCGCAGACUGUCAGGCUUGAGGAAUGCAGAGGUAACUGGAAUUCCUGGUGUAGCGGUGAAAUGCGUUGAUAUCAGGAGGAACACCCAUGGCGAAGGCAGGUUACUGGGCAUUAUCUGACGCUGAGGCGCGAAAGCGUGGGUAGCAAACAGGAUUAGAUACCCUGGUAGUCCACGCCCUAAACGAUGGAUACUAGGCGUAAGAGGUAUCGACCCCUCUUGUGCCGCAGCUAACGCACUAAGUAUCCCGCCUGGGGAGUACGGCCGCAAGGUUG